AUAUUGUACAAUGGGGGCAACCCUGAUCCAGCCAUUCCGCGUGUUUGAAGAAGGUCUUCGGAUUGUAAAGCACUUUAAGUUGGGAGGAAGGGCUUUAGGCUAAUACCCUGAAGUUGUGACGUUACUAACAGAAUAAGCACCGGCUAACUCUGUGCCAGCAGCCGCGGUAAUACAGAGGGUGCAAGCGUUAAUCGGAAUUACUUGGCCUAAAGGGCGCGUAGGUAGGUCAGUAAGGUUGGUGAGAAAACCCCGGGCUUAACCGGGGAACUGCUUUCAUAACUGCUGAGCUAGAGUACGGUAGCGGGUAGUGGAAUUUCCUGUGUAGCGGUGAAAUGCGUAAAUAUAGGAAAGAACACCAGUGACGAAGGCCACUACCUGGACUGAUACUGACACUGAGGUGCAAAAGCGUGAGGAGCAAAC
rnacentral:rRNA from 1 species